ensembl:lncRNA
AAUAUGUUGAUAUAUUUAUAUAUUUUCCAGAUGAAUGCAGAAAAUGAUUGGUUGAUAUGCAUGAGAAAACCACAGGGCAGUGGUGGGGCGAUAUCGGAAUAUCCACUUGGAAUUGAUUUUAAAAAAAAGAUGCAUUUAUGAUGAUCUUAUUUUCCCUCUCUUCAAUAGGGGCUGAAUUACAUAUCAUAUUACCCUCAUAUUAAGAAAAAUGUUAUAACAUAAGUCAUUAUAAUACUUCUGCCAAUAAUGAUAUGCUGAGAGAGGCUUAUUGAUUCAGCUUAUGAUGCACCUGGACUAAAUGAAUUGCAAAUUUGCCUAUUGGCAAUCUCUGCCACUCACUUCGAUUCAGUGUUAGUAUGUUGAAUUGCACCAGCCAGAAAAUUAUCUUAGCAUUUCAGAGGCACUGGAAUACUCAACAAGGAAACCUUGUCACCAAACACGAUUUGUCUUCUUUCCUCUUUCUCACUAUUGUGCCGUGCUGAAAUCACAUUUAUAAUCCUUCCACUGCAGCCGACUAUCUGACAUGUAAUGGAAUUUGAAGACCAUCUUUAUUUAGAUCUGCAGUUGGGUGAGAUUACCAAACAAACUGCCCACCUCUCCACUUCUCCUCUCUGGGGGAAGACGAGGAAGGAAACAGGGACGGCAAACAGACAGGUGUAAAGACAGUGUGAAAGGAUACAGGGAGACUUAAAGUCCGGGUUUAUGUUUUCUCUUUGCAGAAGAUGUAGAGGAGCUGAAUGCUGGAGAGUGAGUGAAGGAGUGAAGCUGAGCCCUGGACGGAGGGAUCUGCUGGAGGAAAGGAGAGAGAGAGUGUCGGCUGAACUGGGCCACAGCAUCCGAGCUGGGAGACCUGAGAGAAGAGAUGGGAGAGGGCGGCUCCGCUGACUGGAGGAGUACCAGCUGGUCUCAAACAGGUAGGGAGCCGUGCCAAGUCCCUGUGCCAGCGUCUGUCGUGCCCGCUGACGUUCGUCGUCUGUUGGCUUCCAUCAGGGCCUCUCUCUCUCUCUGAUCUGGAAUGAAGAUGAUUUGAUUAGACCUCUGGUAAAGGCUGGGCAGGCCCUAUACAAAGUCAUUAGGAUGGCCAGGAGUGGACUGGGGUGUUACGGGUGAGUAGUGGGUGACCGCAGCGGACUCACAUUUGCACUGGACUGUUAGUUAAAAUGUUGUGUGUCUGUGCAUGUGUGUGUAUGCACCUUUUGAACUUCCGUACUCUCAUCCCUCUGGUAAUUGAAUUGUGGUACAAUAAUGGAUCUAUGAUUUUAUUUUGUCUUAGGUCCAAAUGAGUUUUGGUGUGAACGUACACACACUGGCAGGUGUUUACACAUUACAGGGGCUCAAAAGAAAAUCUCCCAAACUCUGGAGGUUAAACUCUGUAGAUCACACCUGGCCUAUGCACUCUAUGUAGUCUAUAUGCUAUGCGAAGAGGUAUGGAUUCAAGUAUAGAAGGACCAAGUCUUUGUAUGGGAGACAAGGAUAUGCUAAUUGGGAAACUGAGAAGGACAGGUAGUAGCAGACAUAAGGGAGUGACAUGAAGGAGUGUGUCUCAGUUGGUAGAACAUGAUGCUUGCAACGCCAGGGUUGUGGGAUCAGUAUGAAAAUGUAUGCAAUCACUACUGUAAGUCGCUCUGGAUAAUAGCAUCUGCUAAAUGACUCAUUUGUUAUUUAUUUUUUAUGUAAAAAAUGAAAGGAACGGGUAGGCCUUCUUU